rnacentral:rRNA from 1 species
GCAUAUCAAUAAGCGGAGGAAAAGAAACCAACAGGGAUUGCCCCAGUAACGGCGAGUGAAGCGGCAAGAGCUCAAAUUUGAAAGCUGGCUCCUUCGGGGUCCGCAUUGUAAUUUGCAGAGGAUGCUUCGGGAGCGGUCCCCAUCUAAGUUCCCUGGAACGGGACGUCAUAGAGGGUGAGAAUCCCGUAUGGGAUGGGGUGUCCGCGCCCGUGUGAAGCUCCUUCGACGAGUCGAGUUGUUUGGGAAUGCAGCUCUAAAUGGGUGGUAAAUUUCAUCUAAAGCUAAAUAUUGGCCGGAGACCGAUAGCGCACAAGUAGAGUGAUCGAAAGAUGAAAAGCACUUUGAAAAGAGAGUUAAAAAGCACGUGAAAUUGUUGAAAGGGAAGCGCUUGCGACCAGACUCGCUCGCGGGGUUCAGCCGGCAUUCGUGCCGGUGUACUUCCCCGCGAGCGGGCCAGCGUCGGUUUGGGCGGUCGGUCAAAGGCCCUCGGAAGGUAACGCCCCCAGGGGCGUCUUAUAGCCGAGGGUGCAAUGCGACCUGCCUAGACCGAGGAACGCGCUUCGGCUCGGACGCUGGCAUAAUGGUCGUAAGCGACCCGUCUUGAAACACGGACC